GCCAUUCUAAGGGCAUGAUAUAUAUUUUAAAAUGCCCCAGAAACCUUUUAUAUAUAUAUAUAUAUAUAUAUAAAUAAAUAAAAAAGGUUUCUGGGGCAUUUUAAAAUAUAUAUUAUGCCCUUAGAAUGGC